rnacentral:rRNA from 1 species
UACGUAGGGGGCGAGCGUUGUCCGGAUUUAUUGGGCGUAAAGAGCGUGUAGGCGGUUCGGUAAGUCUGUCGUGAAAUCCUGAGGCUCAACCUCGGGCGUGCGAUGGAUACUGCCGGGCUAGAGGGUGGUAGAGGCGAGUGGAAUUCCCGGUGUAGCGGUGAAAUGCGCAGAUAUCAGGAGGAACACCCGUGGCGAAAGCGGCUCUCUGGGACGGUACUGACGCUGAGACGCGAAAGCGUGGGGAGCAAACAGG